GUCUGACCUGCCCAAUGAUUGUUUUGAAUGGCCGCAGUAUUUUGACUGUGCAAAGGUAGCAUAAUCAUUAGUUUUUUAAUUGAAAGCUGGAAUGAAUGGUUUGAUGAAAAAAUAACUGUCUCAAUAGAACUGUUUUAGAAUUUUAUUUUUGAGUCAAAAAGCUUAAAUUUAUUAGAAAGACGAGAAGACCCUAUAGAGUUUAAUAUUAAUUCAGUCAAUAAUUUUUAGGUUUUAUAUAAAUUAUUGUUGAUAUUAUUAUUUUGUUGGGGUGAUAUAAAAAUUUAAGUAACUUUUUAUUUUUUAUGACAUUUAUAUAUGAUUAUUUGAUCCUAAUUUUUGGAUAAAAAGAUUAAAUUACCUUAGGGAUAACAGCGUAAUUUCUUUGGAGAGUUCUUAUCGAUAAGGAAGUUUGCGACCUCGAUGUUGGAUUAAAAUUUAUUUUUGGUGUAGAAGCUAAAAUAUUAGGUCUGUUCGACCUUUAAAAUUUUACGUGAUCUGAGUCAAAAACCGGG
rnacentral:rRNA from 1 species